GCCUCGCCGCCUGGAACUUUACUCAACCUUGGCUAUUUAUGUAGGUGAGCAAGUUUCAGGUGCGCAAGAAU
rnacentral:pre_miRNA from 1 species